AUGAACGCUAGCGGCAGGCCUAACACAUGCAAGUCGAGGGGUAGAAGCAGCUUGCUGCUUUGAGACCGGCGCACGGGUGCGUAACGCGUAUGCAAUCUACCUUUUACAGAGGGAUAGCCCAGAGAAAUUUGGAUUAAUACUUCAUAGUAUGUGAGAAUCGCAUGGUUUUCACAUUAAAGUUCCAACGGUAAAAGAUGAGCAUGCGUCCCAUUAGCUAGAUGGUAAGGUAACGGCUUACCAUGGCGACGAUGGAUAGGGGUCCUGAGAGGGAGAUCCCCCACACUGGUACUGAGACACGGACCAGACUCCUACGGGAGGCAGCAGUGAGGAAUAUUGGACAAUGGGCGCAAGCCUGAUCCAGCCAUGCCGCGUGCAGGAUGACGGUCCUAUGGAUUGUAAACUGCUUUUGUACAGGAAGAAACACUCCCUCGUGAGGGAGCUUGACGGUACUGUAAGAAUAAGGAUCGGCUAACUCCGUG
rnacentral:rRNA from 1 species